rnacentral:lncRNA from 1 species
CCGGAAAAAAAUCAAAGUUGUCGGAAUCGAACAAAAAAUGGAUGGGUAGGGUCGGAAUUAUAUUCCGACUAAACUGUCCUUCUGGAGCGAUCGGAAAAAGUGGCCGGAAAGGCAAAGUUGUCGGAAUCGAACAAAAAAUGGAUGGGUAGGGUCGGAAUUAUAUUCCGACUAAACUGUCCUUCUGGAGCGAUCGGAAAAAGUGGCCGAAAAGGCCCUCACGCGCCGGCGCGUGGGCGUCACGCGCAGAGGGUCCUGCCGCGCGUGGGGGCGCGUGAAGCGUCGGUUUCCGGUGAUUUUUUCUGGGGUUGNNN